rnacentral:sRNA from 1 species
AAAAAUAACAUUUGUACCGAAGACAGCAGGUGUGUUGAAACGCUUAAUUUCCUGCCGAGGUCAUACGAUAGAUUUUUAAACGCACGUUUUGAGCGGCUAUUGUAUACUACCUCCAUGUCUGUACCAGUAUGGAGGUAUUUUAUUG